GAUUUCUGGCUUGAAGCAUUUUGCCGGCCACGGUUUCGUGUGUUAGUGCUUGAUGUUCUGGCCAUCCUUCCAAUGGCUGCGUACCUUUCUUCAUUGAUUGGUGCGUGGUAUUGGAUCUUUUACUUUGAAAAAAUUAGAGUGUUUCAAGCAGGCUUUAUGCUAUGAAUACAUUAGCAUGGAAUAAUAAUUUAGGACUUCGGUUCUAUUUUGUUGGUUUCUAGAAACUGAAGUAAUGAUUGAUAGGGAUAGUUGGGGGUGCUAGUAUUCAGCGGCCAGAGGUGAAAUUCUCGGAUUCGCUGAAGACUAACUUAUGCGAAAGCAUU
rnacentral:rRNA from 1 species